rnacentral:rRNA from 1 species
GUCAGCCGCCGCGGUAACACCGGCGGCCCGAGUGGUGAUCGUGAUUAUUGGGUCUAAAGGGUCCGUAGCCGGUUGGUCAGUCCUCCGGGAAAUCUGAUAGCUCAACUAUUAGGCUUUCGGGGGAUACUGCCAGACUUGGAACCGGGAGAGGUAAGAGGUACUACAGGGGUAGGAGUGAAAUCUUGUAAUCCCUGUGGGACCACCUGUGGCGAAGGCGUCUUACCAGAACGGGUUCGACGGUGAGGGACGAAAGCUGGGGGCACGAACCGGAUUAGAUACCCGGGUAGUCCCAGCCGUAAACGAUGCUCGCUAGGUGUCAGGCAUGGCGCGACCGUGUCUGGUGCCGCAGGGAAGCCGUGAAGCGAGCCACCUGGGAAGUACGGCCGCAAGGCUGAAACUUAAAGGAAUUGGCGGGGGAGCACAACAACGGGUGGAAGCCUGCGGUUUAAUUGGACUCAACGCCGGACAACUCACCGGGGGCGACAGCAAUAUGUAGGCCAAGCUGAAGACUUUGCCUGAAUCGCUGAGAAGAGGUGCAUGG